rnacentral:rRNA from 1 species
CCUGCGGAGGGAUCAUUACAGAGUUGCAAAACUCCCUAAACCAUUGUGAACGUUACCUUCAAACCGUUGCUUCGGCGGGCGGCCCGGGUCCGCCCGGUGCCCCCUGGCCCCCUAGCGGGGCGCCCGCCGGAGGAAAACCCAACUCUUGAUUAUUAUGGCCUCUCUGAGUCUUCUGUACUGAAUAAGUCAAAACUUUCAACAACGGAUCUCUUGGUUCUGGCAUCGAUGAAGAACGCAGCGAAAUGCGAUAAGUAAUGUGAAUUGCAGAAUUCAGUGAAUCAUCGAAUCUUUGAACGCACAUUGCGCCCGCCAGUAUUCUGGCGGGCAUGCCUGUUCGAGCGUCAUUUCAACCAUCAAGCCCCGCGCUUGUGUUGGGGACCUGCGGCUGCCGCAGGCCCUGAAAACCAGUGGCGGGCUCGCUGUCACACCGGGCGUAGUAGAUUUUAUCUCGCUCAGGGCGUGCUGCGGGUUCCGGCCGUUAAAAAGCCUUUUUUACCCAAGGUUGACCUCGGAUCAGGUAGGAAUACCCGCUGAACUUAAGCAUAUCAAUAAGCGGAGGA